GUACUGAUAGCUCAACUAUUAGGCUUCGGGGGAGUACUGCCAGACUUGGAACCGGGAGAGGUAAGAGGUACUACAGGGGUAGGAGUGAAAUCUUGUAAUCCCUGUGGGACCACCUGUGGCGAAGGCGUCUUACCAGAACGGGUUCGACGGUGAGGGACGAAAGCUGGGGGCACGAACCGGAUUAGAUACCCGGGUAGUCCCAGCCGUAAACGAUGCUCGCUAGGUGUCAGGCAUGGCGCGACCGUGUCUGGUGCCGCAGGGAAGCCGUGAAGCGAGCCACCUGGGAAGUACGGCCGCAAGGCUGAAACUUAAAGGAAUUGGCGGGGGAGCACAACAACGGGGUGGAGCCUGCGGUUUAAUUGGACUCAACGCCGGACAACUCACCGGGGGCGACAGCAAUAUGUAGGCCAAGCUGAAGACUUUGCCUGAAUCGCUGAGUAGUGGUGCAUGG
rnacentral:rRNA from 1 species